rnacentral:rRNA from 1 species
CCCAGUAGCCAUUUCACCCUGCAACAUACAACUGGCAACCCACCAAAACUAAGCAGGUGUGAGCCUGGUCAGUACCUGGAUGAGAGACCACCUGGGAAAAACUAAGGUUGGUGCUGGAA